rnacentral:rRNA from 1 species
UGGGGAAUUUUGGACAAUGGGCGAAAGCCUGAUCCAGCAAUGCCGCGUGUGUGAAGAAGGCCUUCGGGUUGUAAAGCACUUUUGUCCGGAAAGAAAUCCUUGGCUCUAAUACAGUCGGGGGAUGACGGUACCGGAAGAAUAAGCACCGGCUAACUACGUGCCAGCAGCCGCGGUAAUACGUAGGGUGCAAGCGUUAAUCGGAAUUACUGGGCGUAAAGCGUGCGCAGGCGGUUUGCUAAGACCGAUGUGAAAUCCCCGGGCUCAACCUGGGAACUGCAUUGGUGACUGGCAGGCUAGAGUAUGGCAGAGGGGGGUAGAAUUCCACGUGUAGCAGUGAAAUGCGUAGAGAUGUGGAGGAAUACCGAUGGCGAAAGGCAGCCCCCUGGGCCAAUACUGACGCUCAUGCACGAAAGCGUGGGGAGCAAAACAGGAUUAGAUACCCUGGUAGUCCACGCCCUAAAACGAUGUCAACUAGUUGUUGGGGAUUCAUUUCCUUAGUAACGUAGCUAACGCGUGAAGUUGACCGCCUGGGGAGUACGGUCGCAAGAUUAAAACUCAAAUGAAUUGACGGGGUCAUAGCUGUUUCCU